AAUAAGUGCAGUUUUACACUAUUCACGUUCAACGUUUGAUCGUUCGUCUUAUUUGAAAUUUUUUUUAUGAUUAGUAUUUUUAUUGCUAUUAGAUAAUAAAACAUGAAUAGUAUUUUAUGUAUGACUAAAUAUUUUUAAUUUUUUCAUAAAUUUUUCAAAUAAGACAGACGGUCAAACGUUGGACAUAGAUAUUCACGGCUGCACUUAUU
rfam:Oryza glaberrima chromosome 2 Oglab02_0032_5, whole genome shotgun sequence.